AUGAACGCUAGCGGGAGGCUUAAUACAUGCAAGUCGAGCGGCAAGGUCUUCGGACCCUAGAGCGGCGCACGGGUGAGUAACGCGUACGCAAUCUGCCCUUCAGUGAGGAAUAGCCCUGGGAAACUGGGAUUAAUACCUCAUAAUAUUAUUUAUUCGCAUGGAUGAAUAAUUAAAGUUCUGGCGCUGAAGGAUGAGCGUGCGUCUGAUUAGCUAGUUGGUAGGGGUAACGGCCUACCAAGGCUACGAUCAGUAGGGGGCGUGAGAGCGUGACCCCCCACACGGGUACUGAGACACGGACCCGACUCCUACGGGAGGCAGCAGUAAGGAAUAUUGGGCAAUGGAGGCAACUCUGACCCAGCCAUCCCGCGUGAAGGAUUAAGGCCCUAUGGGUUGUAAACUUCUUUUGUUUUGGGAAGAAAUCAGGACAUUUAUGUGCUGUUGACGGUACCUUACGAAUAAGCACCGGCUAACUCCGUGCCAGCAGCCGCGGUA
rnacentral:rRNA from 1 species